ensembl:lncRNA
GUGAGGAUGAAGAGAGAGAGGGUGAGGAUGAAGAGAGAGAGGGUGAGGAUGAAGAGAGAGAGGGUGAGGAUGAAGAGAGAGAGGGUGAGGAUGAAGAGAGAGAGGGUGAGGAUGAAGAGAGAGAGGGUGAGGAUGAAGAGAGAGGGAGAUGAAGAGAGAGAGAGGAUGAAGAGAGAGAGGGUGAGGAUGAAGAGAGAGAGGGUGAGGAUGAAGAGAGAGAGGGUGAGGAUGAAGAGAGAGGGGGUGAGGAUGAAGAGAGAGAGGGUGAGGAUGAAGAGAGAGAGAGAGAGAGAGAGAGAGAGAGAGAGAGAGAGUCUGGAUGUAGAUGAGGAGGCAGGAGAGGUGUUGGAGGCGUCUGUCGGUCGGUGCUGUCGAUGACGUGACAGACAUAUUUUGUGAAACAAUAAUGCAACUGGCAGCUCU